AACGCAGCGAAGGGCGAUACGUAAUGUGAAUUGCAGAAUUCAGUGAAUCAUCGAAUCUUUGAACGCACAUUGCACUCUCUGGUAUUCCGGAGAGUAUGCUUGUUUGAGUAUCUGUAAACAUCUCAAAUCUCUACUUUAUUGUAAAGAAUUGGACUUGAGCAAUCCCAACUCCUUCGUCAGAAAGAGAAGGGUUGCUCGAAAUGCAGGUGCAGCUGGACAUUCUUCUGAGACUAAAAGCAUAUUCAUUAGUCCCGUCAAACGGAUUAUUACUUUUGCUGCAGCUAACAUAAAGGGUAGUUUGACCUAUUUUUGGCUGACUGAUGCAGGAUUUUCACAAGAGUCUUCAAAAGCUCUUGUUAAACUCGAUCUCAAAUCAAGUAAGACUACCCGCUGAACUUAA
rnacentral:rRNA from 1 species